rnacentral:rRNA from 1 species
AGAGUUUGAUCCUGGCUCAGGACGAACGCUGGCGGCGUGCCUAAUACAUGCAAGUCGAGCGAGCUUGCCUAGAUGAUUUUAGUGCUUGCACUAAAUGAAACUAGAUACAAGCGAGCGGCGGACGGGUGAGUAACACGUGGGUAACCUGCCCAAGAGACUGGGAUAACACCUGGAAACAGAUGCUAAUACCGGAUAACAACACUAGACGCAUGUCUAGAGUUUGAAAGAUGGUUCUGCUAUCACUCUUGGAUGGACCUGCGGUGCAUUAGCUAGUUGGUAAGGUAACGGCUUACCAAGGCAAUGAUGCAUAGCCGAGUUGAGAGACUGAUCGGCCACAUUGGGACUGAGACACGGCCCAAACUCCUACGGGAGGCAGCAGUAGGGAAUCUUCCACAAUGGACGAAAGUCUGAUGGAGCAACGCCGCGUGAGUGAAGAAGGGUUUCGGCUCGUAAAGCUCUGUUGGUAGUGAAGAAAGAUAGAGGUAGUAACUGGCCUUUAUUUGACGGUAAUUACUUAGAAAGUCACGGCUAACUACGUGCCAGCAGCCGCGGUAAUACGUAGGUGGCAAGCGUUGUCCGGAUUUAUUGGGCGUAAAGCGAGUGCAGGCGGUUCAAUAAGUCUGAUGUGAAAGCCUUCGGCUCA